ensembl:misc_RNA
UUAACUUGUUAAAUCAUAAAAAAUUCUUUCCAAAAAAGUAUACUGGAAACAUGUGGAUGUGAGGUUAUAAUUAAAAAGGAAAGCAAAACAGCCUUCCCCCAAAACAGAGAAAUCCUCACUUCAAAGCUACAGCUGAGCUGAUGAGAGUAAAAUGGGGGCAUGCUAAAAAGUCUUGGAAUGUGAACACUAUCACUGACCAUCUGG